rnacentral:rRNA from 1 species
GGUUAAGCGACUAAGCGUACACGGUGGAUGCCCCGGCAGUCAGAGGCGAUGAAGGGCGUGCUAAUCUGCGAUAAGCGCCGGUAAGGUGAUAUGAACCGUUAUAACCGGCGAUACCCGAAUGGGGAAACCCAGUGUGAUUCGUCACACUAUCAUUAACUGAAUCCAUAGGUUAAUGAGGCGAACCGGGGGAACUGAAACAUCUAAGUACCCCGAGGAAAAGAAAUCAACCGAGAUUCCCCCAGUAGCGGCGAGCGAACGGGGAGGAGCCCAGAGCCUGAAUCAGCAUGUGUGUUAGUGGAAGCGUCUGGAAAGGCGCGCGAUACAGGGUGACAGCCCCGUACACAAAAGCGCAUGUGCUGUGAGCUCGAUGAGUAGGGCGGGACACGUGGUAUCCUGUCUGAAUAUGGGGGGACCAUCCUCCAAGGCUAAAUACUCCUGACUGACCGAUAGUGAACCAGUACCGUGAGGGAAAGGCGAAAAGAACCCCGGCGAGGGGAGUGAAAAAGAACCUGAAACCGUGUACGUACAAGCAGUGGGAGCACCCUUCGGGGUGUGACUGCGUACCUUUUGUAUAAUGGGUCAGCGACUUAUAUUCUGUAGCAAGGUUAACCGUAUAGGGGAGCCGGAGGGAAACCGAGUCUUAACCGGGCGUUAAGUUGCAGGGUAUAGACCCGAAACCCGGUGAUCUAGCCAUGGGCAGGUUGAAGGUUGGGUAACACUAACUGGAGGACCGAACCGACUAAUGUUGAAAAAUUAGCGGAUGACCUGUGGCUGGGGGUGAAAGGCCAAUCAAACCGGGAGAUAGCUGGUUCUCCCCGAAAGCUAUUUAGGUAGCGCCUCGUGAAUUCAUCUCCGGGGGUAGAGCACUGUUUCGGCUAGGGGGCCAUCCCGGCUUACCAACCCGAUGCAAACUGCGAAUACCGGAGAAUGUUAUCACGGGAGACACACGGCGGGUGCUAACGUCCGUCGUGAAGAGGGAAACAACCCAGACCGCCAGCUAAGGUCCCAAAGUCAUGGUUAAGUGGGAAACGAUGUGGGAAGGCCCAGACAGCCGGGAUGUUGGCUUAGAAGCAGCCAUCAUUUAAAGAAAGCGUAAUAGCUCACUGGUCGAGUCGGCCUGCGCGGAAGAUGUAACGGGGCUAAACCAUGCACCGAAGCUGCGGCAGCGAACGUAUCACCCAAGACAACUUUACGGAGUUGACGAUUGACGGAGCGAAGCGACGUCAAAGCGUUCAUUAAAGUCGAGUUGGCUUAGGGAUACGUUCGUUGGGUAGGGGAGCGUUCUGUAAGCCUGUGAAGGUGUGUCGUGAGGCAUGCUGGAGGUAUCAGAAGUGCGAAUGCUGACAUAAGUAACGAUAAAGCGGGUGAAAAGCCCGCUCGCCGGAAGACCAAGGGUUCCUGUCCAACGUUAAUCGGGGCAGGGUGAGUCGACCCCUAAGGCGAGGCCGAAAGGCGUAGUCGAUGGGAAACGGGUUAAUAUUCCCGUACUUGGUGUUACUGCGAAGGGGGGACGGAGAAGGCUAUGUUGGCCGGGCGACGGUUGUCCCGGUUUAAGCGUGUAGGUGUGUGUUCCGGUAAAUCCGGUUCACUUUAACACUGAGGCGUGACGACGAGGCACUACGGUGCUGAAGCAACAAAUGCCCUGCUUCCGGGAAAAGCCUCUAAGCAUCAGGUAACAUCAAAUCGUACCCCAAACCGACACAGGUGGUCAGGUAGAGAAUACCAAGGCGCUUGAGAGAACUCGGGUGAAGGAACUAGGCAAAAUGGUGCCGUAACUUCGGGAGAAGGCACGCUGACACGUAGGUGAAGUGAUUUACUCAUGGAGCUGAAGUCAGUCGAAGAUACCAGCUGGCUGCAACUGUUUAUUAAAAACACAGCACUGUGCAAACACGAAAGUGGACGUAUACGGUGUGACGCCUGCCCGGUGCCGGAAGGUUAAUUGAUGGGGUCAGCGCAAGCGAAGCUCCUGAUCGAAGCCCCGGUAAACGGCGGCCGUAACUAUAACGGUCCUAAGGUAGCGAAAUUCCUUGUCGGGUAAGUUCCGACCUGCACGAAUGGCGUAAUGAUGGCGGGCUGUCUCCACCCGAGACUCAGUGAAAUUGAACUCGCUGUGAAGAUGCAGUGUACCCGCGGCAAGACGGAAAGACCCCGUGAACCUUUACUAUAGCUUGACACUGAACAUUGAGCCUUGAUGUGUAGGAUAGGUGGGAGGCUUUGAAGUGUGGACGCCAGUCUGCAUGGAGCCGACCUUGAAAUACCACCCUUUAAUGUUUGAUGUUCUAACGUGGACCCGUAAUCCGGGUUGCGGACAGUGUCUGGUGGGUAGUUUGACUGGGGCGGUCUCCUCCUAAAGAGUAACGGAGGAGCACGAAGGUUGGCUAAUCCUGGUCGGACAUCAGGAGGUUAGUGCAAUGGCAUAAGCCAGCUUGACUGCGAGCGUGACGGCGCGAGCAGGUGCGAAAGCAGGUCAUAGUGAUCCGGUGGUUCUGAAUGGAAGGGCCAUCGCUCAACGGAUAAAAGGUACUCCGGGGAUAACAGGCUGAUACCGCCCAAGAGUUCAUAUCGACGGCGGUGUUUGGCACCUCGAUGUCGGCUCAUCACAUCCUGGGGCUGAAGUAGGUCCCAAGGGUAUGGCUGUUCGCCAUUUAAAGUGGUACGCGAGCUGGGUUUAGAACGUCGUGAGACAGUUCGGUCCCUAUCUGCCGUGGGCGCUGGAGAACUGAGGGGGCUGCUCCUAGUACGAGAGGACCGGAGUGGACGCAUCACUGGUGUUCGGGUUGUCAUGCCAAUGGCACUGCCCGGUAGCUAAAUGCGGAAGAGAUAAGUGCUGAAAGCAUCUAAGCACGAAACUUGCCCCGAGAUGAGUUCUCCCUGAGACUUAGAGUCUCCUGAAGGAACGUUGAAGACGACGACGUUGAUAGGCCGGGUGUGUAAGCGCAGCGAUGCGUUGAGCUAACCGGUACUAAUGAACCGUGAGGCUUAACCUU